rnacentral:lncRNA from 1 species
AGUGGUUUUGUGCGAGAGGAGGCAAUUUGUGUUGAAUUUCAGCCCGAAAAGGUGAUUCUCCUGUAUUGUUUGUAUAAAUUAUAGUUUGCAUGUUUAAUCGUACGUUGUUUUUAACGUUGAGAGCAUGUUUUACGUUAUUUUAAUGAAUGUCUUUAUUAUCUGAAAUUUAAAAGCAUGUUAGGGAAAUAUUAAACUUUUUUCUAAUAUAAUUGAAUGUUUUGAACCCAAAAAAUAAAGUAUCCGCCAGAAUAUCAUUAGAAAACGAUAAUAGCCGCCGACCCUACAAGGUCAGCGGCUACUGGUGUCGGAUAAUGAUUUACUGGCGGAUACUUCAUUUUUCGAGCUUAUUGUGAUGUUUUGAACUUUUUAAACGUAUUUUAAUACUGUAUUUUAUGUGGUUUUAUAGAUGGAAUUCGUGAGAUACAUAUAUGUGAGAUACAACGGAGUCGUCGAUGGUAUACACUAUGUUGGCGGGGCUACGGAGGUCCUUCCCCUCUUAAAUGAAACAGUUGCGAGCCUGAUAUACAGCAUCAACAAUGUGCUGACAAUGCAUUCGUUGAGCCCGAACUAUCAAUUGUAUUAUUUGGCGACCAAUCGAUUUGGAAGGGAGACGAAAUGCGUAAUAAGUGACGACGAUGAUGUGCAAGGCUUGUUGGAAACUGCC